GGGAAAGUGGAGUACUUGGUCAUAGGAACUUGAACAAUGUUCCUCCUAGCAUCAAUAGCAGAUUUCUGAACAGCAGCAACAACUUCUUUAGCCUUAGCACAACCAACACCAACAUUGCCUUGUUUAUCACCAACAACAACAAUAGCUCUAAACUUCAACUGCUUCCCACCUUUAACAACCUUAGUAACUCUCCUAACCUGAACAACUCUCUCUUCAAACCCAUCUCUUAUCUUAUCCUUUUUGGGCUUCCCACCAAUACCUGAACUCUUCUUAAACUUUGAAUCCAUCACAUAAAUGUCCUUACCAAGCAUGCUCUCACCACUAUACGCAGGACCGUAGAGCUCUUCGAACGCCGUCGCGAUCUCUUCCUCAGUCUCGUCGCUUCCUUCGUCGAAGUAAGGAGGAUCGACGAAGCCUUCGGGAGCAAUUGGUGGGUCGAAUACGACAUUAGCUGUUAUCUCAGGUGUCUGAUCCUCGAAGAAGAAAGUUUCGUUUUGCUCGUUGGAGGCUUUGACGAGAGUGAGAGAUGAUGAGACGCCGCGGCGGUUGAGGAAUGAGGAGGAGAAGGAGACGAUGGGUUUUGUUGUUGAGGAAGAGAUGAGAGAUGAGGUUCCGCUGUGGAGGGAGAGAGAAGUGAGUGAAGAGAGAGCUGAUGCUGUCGCCAUUGAAAUAUGGAGAGGUUUUUUUUGGAUGAGGGAAAGGGAAGCGAGAGUGGAGCAGAGGCUUAUCCA